UCAUGAGAGUUUGAUCCUGGCUCAGGAUGAACGCUGGCGGCAUGUCUUAGGCAUGCAAGUCGAACGAUCCACUUCGGUGGAGAGUGGCAGACGGGUGAGUAACACAUUGGUAACCUACCUCUAACAAAGGAAUAACCCGAAGAAAUUUGGGCUAAUACCUUAUACUCUUUUCUCUCAUAUGAGUGAAAAGGAAAGCUCCGGCGGUUAGAGAGGGGCCUAUGGUCCAUCAGCUUGUUGGUAAGGUAAAAGCUUACCAAGGCUAUGACGGAUAGCGGGUGUGAGAGCAUGACCCGCCUCAAUGGGACUGAAACACUGCCCAUACUCCUACGGGAGGCUGCAGUCGAGAAUCUUCCUCAAUGCGCGAAAGCGUGAAGGAGCAAUGCCGCGUGCCGGAAGACGCCUUUCGGGGUGUAAACGGCUUUUAUGUGGGAACAAACUUCGGUUGAGUGUACCACUUGAAUAAGAGGUUGCUAACUCUGUGCCAGCAGCAGCGGUAAUACAGAGACCUCAAGCGUUAUCCGGAUUUAUUGGGCGUAAAGGGUCCGUAGGCUGUUUGCCAAGUUUCUCGUCAAAUUUUACGGCUCAACCGUAAAACUGCGAGGAAAACUGACAAACUAGAGACUGGGAGAGGCAAGCGGAACGGCUGGUGUAGGGGUAAAAUCCGUUAAUAUCAGCCGGAACACCAAAGGCGAAGGCAGCUUGCUGGAACAGUUCUGACGCUAAGGGACGAAAGCGUGGGUAGCGAAUGGGAUUAGAUACCCCAGUAGUCCACGCCGUAAACGAUGGGUACUAGCUUUUGGGAGUAUCGACCCUCCCAGAGGUGCUUAUAACCAAGCUAACGCGUUAAGUACCCCGCCUGGGGAGUACGGUCGCAAGACUAAAACUCAAAGGAAUUGACGGGGACCCGCACAAGCGGUGGAGCGUGUGGUUUAAUUCGAUACUAAGCGGGGAACCUUACCAGGACUUGACAUCGAUCUGCAAACCCUAGGAAACUAGGGCUCUUUCGAAGGUGAUCGACAGGUGCUGCAUGGUUGUCGUCAGCUCGUGCUGUGAAGUGUACCGUUAAGUCGGGAAACGAGCGCAACCCCUAUAUUGUGUUAUUUUUCCACAAUAGACUGCCCUGGUUAACAGGGAGGAAGGUGGGGACGACGUCAAAUCAGCAUGGCUCUUACGUCCUGGGCGACACACGCGCUACAAUGGGUAAAACAACGAGUUGCCAAACCGUGAGGUGGAGCUAAUCUCUUAAAUUUACCCUCAGUUCGGAUUGAAGUCUGCAAUUCGACUUCAUGAAGUUGGAAUCGCUAGUAAACGCGUAUCAGCCACGGCGCGUUGAAUACGUUCUCGGGUCUUGUACACACCGCCCGUCACGUCAAGGGAGCCGAUAGCACCCGAAGCCCCUUCUUUACGAAGGGAUCAAGGUGAGAUCGGUGACAGGGACGAAGUCGUAACAAGGCAUCCGUAGCGGAAGCUGUGGAUGGAUCACCUCCUUUCUAAGGAG
rnacentral:rRNA from 1 species